GCCGGGCGUGGUGGCUCAUGCCUGUAAUCCCAGCACACUGGGAGGCUGAGGCAGGUGGAUCACUUGAGGCCAGGAGUUUGAGACUAGCCUGGCCAACAUGGUAAAAGCCUGUCUCUA
rnacentral:SRP_RNA from 1 species